rnacentral:rRNA from 1 species
CUACGUGCCAGCAGCCGCGGUAAUACGUAGGUGGCAAGCGUUGUCCGGAAUUAUUGGGCGUAAAGCGCGCGCAGGCGGCCUAUCCAGUCUGUCUUAAAAGUUCGGGGCUCAACCCCGUGAUGGGAUGGAAACUAGUAGGCUAGAGUAUCGGAGAGGAAAGCGGAAUUCCUAGUGUAGCGGUGAAAUGCGUAGAUAUUAGGAAGAACACCAGUGGCGAAGGCGGCUUUCUGGACGAAAACUGACGCUGAGGCGCGAAAGCCAGGGGAGCGAACGGGAUUAGAUACCCCGGUAGUCCUGGCCGUAAACGAUGGGUACUAGGUGUAGGAGGUAUCGACCCCUUCUGUGCCGGAGUUAACGCAAUAAGUACCCCGCCUGGGGAGUACGGCCGCAAGGUUAAAACUCAAAUGAAUUGACGGGGGCCCGCACAAGCGGUGGAGCAUGUGGUUUAAUUCGAUGCAACGCGAAGAACCUUACCUACUCUUGACAUCC